CCUACGGGAGGCAGCAGUGGGGAAUUUUGCGCAAUGGGGGCAACCCUGACGCAGCAACGCCGCGUGCGGGACGAAGGCCUUCGGGUCGUAAACCGCUUUCAGCAGGGAAGACAUUGACGGUACCUGCAGAAGAAGCCCCGGCUAACUACGUGCCAGCAGCCGCGGUAAUACGUAGGGGGCGAGCGUUAUCCGGAAUCAUUGGGCGUAAAGGGCGCGUAGGCGGCCCCUCAAGCGGGAUCUCUAAUCCGAGGGCUCAACCCCCGGCCGGAUCCCGAACUGGGGGGCUCGGGUGCGGUAGAGGAGGAUGGAAUUCCCGGUGUAGCGGUGGAAUGCGCAGAUAUCGGGAAGAACACCGAUGGCGAAGGCAGUCCUCUGGGCCGCCACCGACGCUGAGGCGCGAAAGCCGGGGGAGCGAACAGGAUUAGAUACCCUGGUAGUC
rnacentral:rRNA from 1 species